rnacentral:rRNA from 1 species
UACGGAGGGGGCAAGCGUUAUUCGGAAUUAUUGGGCCUAAAGCAUCCGUAGCCGGUCUUACAAGUCCUCCGUUAAAUCCAGCUGCUUAACAGAUGGGCUGCGGAGGAUACUAUAAGACUAGGAGGCAGGAGAGGCAAGCGGUACUCAGUGGGUAGGGGUAAAAUCCGUUGAUCCAUUGAAGACCACCAGUGGCGAAGGCGGCUUGCCAGAAUGCGCUCGACGGUGAGGGAUGAAAGCUGGGGGAGCAAACCGG